UACGAAGGGGGCUAGCGUUGCUCGGAAUCACUGGGCGUAAAGCGCACGUAGGCGGCUUUUUAAGUCAGGGGUGAAAUCCUGGAGCUCAACUCCAGAACUGCCUUUGAUACUGAGGAUCUUGAGUUCGGGAGAGGUGAGUGGAACUGCGAGUGUAGAGGUGAAAUUCGUAGAUAUUCGCAAGAACACCGGUGGCGAAGGCGGCUCACUGGCCCGAUACUGACGCUGAGGCACGAAAGCGUGGGGAGCAAACAGG
rnacentral:rRNA from 1 species